rnacentral:rRNA from 1 species
AAAGAAACUAACAAGGAUUCCCCUAGUAACUGCGAGUGAAGCGGGAAAAGCUCAAAUUUGUAAUCUGGCGGCCUCCGCCCGUCCGAGUUGUAAUCUAGAGAAGCGUUAUCCGCGCUGGACCGUGUAUAAGUCUCCUGGAACGGAGCGUCAUAGAGGGUGAGAAUCCCGUCUUUGACACGGACUACCAGGGCUUUGUGAUGCGCUCUCAAAGAGUCGCGUUGUUUGGGAAUGCAGCGCUAAAUGGGUGGUAAAUUCCAUCUAAAGCUAAAUAUUGGCGAGAGACCGAUAGCGAACAAGUACCGUGAGGGAAAGAUGAAAAGAACUUUGGAAAGAGUUAAAAAGUACGUAGAAUUGUUGAAAGGGAAACGCUUAAGUAGUCCGGUACGCCGGGACAUAAGCCUUGCUCUUUUGCUUGGUGUACUUCCCCGCCGAGGCCAGCAUUAGUUUCGACCGGCGGAAAAAGGUCAAGGGAAUGUGGCAUCCUUCGGUGUGUUAUAGCCCUUGGUCAUAUACGACGGUUGGGACUGAGGAACUCAGCACGCCGCAAGGCCGGGUCUUUGACCACGUACGUGCUUAGGAUGCUGGCAUAAUGGCUUUAAUCGACCCGUCUUG